rnacentral:rRNA from 1 species
AUACGGAGGGUGCAAGCGUUAUUCGGAAUCACUGGGCGUAAAGGACGCGUAGGCGGGUUGGCAAGUCAGAUGGGGAAUCCUACAGCUUAACUGUAGAACUGCAUUUGAAACUGCUAACCUAGAGUAUGGGAGGGGGAGAUGGAAUUAGUGGUGUAGGAGUAAAAUCCGUAGAUAUCACUAGGAAUACCGAAAGCGAAGGCGAUCUCCUGGAACAUAACUGACGCUAAGGCGUGAAAGCGUGGGGAGCAAACAGGAUUAGAUACCCUAGUAGUCC